GACAGAGGGUGCAAACGUUGUUCGGAAUUACUGGGCGUAAAGCGUGCGUAGGCGGUUCUCCAAGUCCGUUGUGAAAGCCCCGGGCUCAACCUGGGAAUGGCAGUGGAAACUAGGGGACUGGAAUCUGGCAGAGGGGGGUGGAAUGCCGCGUGUAGCAGUGAAAUGCGUAGAGAUGCGGCGGAACACCGAUGGCGAAGGCAGCCCCCUGGGCUGAGAUUGACGCUCAGGCACGAAAGCGUGGGGAGCAAACAGG
rnacentral:rRNA from 1 species